CCCAAACCCAGCCCAGUUCUACCCCUAAUUCUGUUACUAUUAUAUCAAUUUCUUUUGAUUUAUAUCGAAAAUACUUUUGAAAUGUCAUAAAUAAAUUUAAAAAUUAUUUUUUUAUAAAAUAAGGAUAAUCUGGUUAUUUCGCUCUCUCCAUUAAUACCAUCAACCUUCUAAAAAUAACUUUUAUAUUUUAAUGAAGUAAAAUGUAUGGUUUUGAAAGUUAGAGGCGAAAAAGUGAAAAAGCAACUUUAUAGUUUUUACAGAAAACUUAUUAUAUUUUAGCCUUUGUCAUAUUAAGGCUGAAUUUUUUUAAAACUGAUCAAAAUACUAUCAUUCUCUUUCCUUUCUCUCUUUUCCCUUUCUUUCUCAUCCGGCUUCUUCUCCAUUCUCCUUUUCCUCCUCCACUGCGAGCACAUCACUACUGCGCUCCUUUUCUUACCUCAUCUAUAUUUCUACUGCCAUCAACAGCGACGAUGA
rnacentral:lncRNA from 1 species